rnacentral:rRNA from 1 species
CCUACGGGAGGCAGCAGUGAGGAAUAUUGGUCAAUGGGCGCGAGCCUGAACCAGCCAAGUAGCGUGCAGGAUGACGGCCCUAUGGGUUGUAAACUGCUUUUAUCAGGGGAUAAAGUGGGGGACGUGUCCCCCUUUGCAGGUACCUGAUGAAUAAGGACCGGCUAAUUCCGUGCCAGCAGCCGCGGUAAU